GUUAGGUAAGGCUAAAUUGGGUUUUGAUGUAAAUGGCCUAAAAUUGGCCUACAACAGCUGCCCCUCUUUGCUUAUUAUCGUGUAACGAGAAUAGAGCAAAGAUAUAAAGAAAGGCCAAUUUUGCCCGGUCUUGCUAAGUAUGGACUUCUUUGGUGCUCUUCUCAUCCAGGUAGUCUCUUUCCAGUCCAUCGCAUCUUGUAG
rnacentral:lncRNA from 1 species